UAUUGGUCAAUGGGCUUACGCCUGAACCAGCCAAGUCGCGUGAGGGAAGACUGCCCUAUGUUUUGUAAACCUCUUUUGUCAGGGAGCAACGCCGGCUACGUGUAGCCGGACUGAGAGUACCUGAAGAAAAAGCAUCGGCUACCUCCGUGCCAGCAGCCGCGGUAAUACGGAGGAUGCGAGCGUUAUCCGGAUUUAUUGGGUUUAAAGGGUGCGCAGGCGGAGGCACAAGUCAGCGGUAAAAUCGCGGGGCUCAACCCCGCUCCGCCGUUGAAACUGUGUCCCUUGAGUGCGCGAAGGGUAGGCGGGAUGCGUGGUGUAGCGGUGAAAUGCAUAGAUAUCACGCAGAACUCCGAUCGCGAAGGCAGCCUACCGGCGCGCAACUGACGCUCAUGCACGAAAGCGUGGGUAUCG
rnacentral:rRNA from 1 species